rfam:Dictyostelium fasciculatum unplaced genomic scaffold Scf_ETAJFTG02HR96I-5, whole genome shotgun sequence.
CAAAAGGUGUUUUUGAACGCCACCCAUUAUUAUUUAAUCACAAUG